GCUGGCUGGUUUACAUGAACCUCCAGAGAACGACCCCCCAGAAGACCACCGGCGGCUUCUGAGAGCACCUGUCUGCCCAUUGCCUCACCAACACAGCAGAUGGUCGGACUGGGGAGUUUCUGCCAAUUGGAUGGAUCUUACAACCAGGAUGUGAAUGGGAAAAAGCAGUUGCAGAAGGAAAAGUGUGAUGCCACAUCGACAUAAAGUUUUAAUUCAUGCAAAACACGCUAUUUUUCAAGGAGCAAGAGGCUUAUGUAUAUGCAGCAAAAGGCUUAACAUAUGAAUGGGACAUAUUUUCCUUUAAGAGGAAAAAAAAAAACCCUUUUUUCAUGCACAAGGACUUACAAUUUAAGCCCAGGUGCACCAGUAUCUUACUGAGAGAGGCAGAAUCAUCCUCGCUUGUAGGUUGGCUCCUAGAAGGCUCCUGAACCAAUCAGCCAUGGGUCAGGGAUUGCUGCCUCCCGUCUGCACAGCUGGGGUCAGUUGACUCACCUGUAGCCUGCAGUCCAGCCCCGCUCCAGCUUGGGGCUCAUCUGGGGGAAAGUAUUUAAGCACAGAAGCCUGACCCUGCUAGGACGUUGAAACUCUUGGUCUUGGCGGUUCAGGCAACAGUGAACAUGGACUUCAAGCUGCUGGCAGUGAGAUUCUUGUCUUGGGGGGAAACUUCAGAUGGUUGCUGGCUUUUCUUGGAAAAGUAUGAAGCUCUGGCAGAGUUCGUACGCGACAGCUCCCGGUGGUCAGCAGGAUCCCAGCACCAGCCCCCUUCCCCUCAAUUGUCAGCUGUAACCAUCAAGGUGCCCUGGCCUAGGGGUCUGUUGCCUUACGAAUAACCAAGGACCUGGAAGAAAGCUGCUUCUAUCCACAGAAGGAGGACGUGAGUUGGCCUGAGAAUUGGAAGGGAAUGUUAAGAGCGUUCUGUGUUGGGCAGCCUUCGUCAUCGGAGAGCCUCUCCUGAAAAAUGAGUGCAGUGUAGGCCUGAGUUAAAACUCGGACUUCUCCAUAUCCCCCAGUCCCAUUCUGCCAGCCGAAAUACCAGGCCCCUGCGACCCUCUUCGCUCUCACCAAACCAGCAGACUUUCCUGACAGACCCCAGACUCCGAAGGCCUCAAAACUGGAAUUUGAGGAAGUUAAAUACUAAUGGGGGACCGUGAAGACCAUUAAAAAGUAAUCUUUAUUUGGAGGGAAUGGGAAGAGAGCACUCCUGUCAGGACAAGGUCCCACCCACAGCACUGAGCAAGUCAAGGGACCACAUCCUCAAAGAAAAAAAAGGAAUCUCCUAUACAAGGAGGAGGCCAGGCCAUGUUGUCAGAACCACAGCACGGAGCUGAUGGAGAACAAAAUGGGCUCUGGAUUUCAGCCAGACCCAAGCUGAGGGCUGGUGUUGGAGGAUCUAGCAAGAUGUGGGAGGAGAGCAGUAGGAACUGGUAGGCACUGGUACCUCUAUUGCAGGGAUCCGUAUCUCGCCGGAAUUCCAUUUUUAAGUCACUGAAAACUAAGCUGGUUUUUUUCCUGAAUACUCCUGAGGAAAUGUUCUUAUGAUAGGUGGCUGAAAUCCGCCAUUUUGUUGGCAGCCUCUUUAAACUGGUGGGGUUUCCGGAUAUUGGGGUUCCUGUGACAGCCAUUCUGUGCAUAGCAUCAACCUGAGCCUGAUCCACGUUGCUGCCAGGGGACUUGGGGGGGGGGGGCAGAGGGACUCCAAAUGUGAAGCUCCUGCCGUCUGCUGGGAAGCAUGUAGAACGUGGCAGGUCUCCUUAGCUUGCAAGCAAGAUAGUCUCAGACUCUCCACAGUUCUUGAUCGUUUUGAUAGAGUGGGAUGCUGAAUGAAAUGUGGCUUUCUGGGAAAGAAAGGACAAGACCCUUUGCAGCCUGGGUUAGGGGAUAGGAGAAGCAAAUACCCUGGGAUCUGGUAGCAAGUGCUCUUGGCCCAAGUGGUGAUGGGCUAAGAACCUCUCUCUGGCCUACUCGUGAAGGAGACUGACCGGUGCAAGGUGGGAUUGAAACCUGAAACCCAAAUAGUGCUGUUGGUGGUGGCUCACUCUUCCACUGGGAGAUGCUAUGAGCAGUUGAUGGGCUGUUGGAAACAGUACAUAGGCCUUGCUUGCUGGUGCAGAGCUGGACUCUCCCUCUCCGCUGCUCCUGCAUCCCUCCCACCAGCCACUCUAAGGAAAAAGCCACAUCUAGGGAAUACUGGAUGGGGGCAGUGUGGGGACACAGGUGCCAAAGUCUCCAUCCUACUUGGGUCGAGGGCAGGAAGGGAUGCCUGGAUGGGGCUCAAGGUCCUGGUGAAGAGAAAAACUAAUGUGAUCUUGGUUUUGGGCUGACCCAAUAUGCUUUCUUUGUUGUGUCUACAUCUGACUGGGAGUUGGGCUGACCCAAUAUGCUUUCUUUGUUGUGUCUACAUCUGACUGGGAGUUUAAAUUUCAUUUUUUAUUCAUCAUAAGUGUACUGCUUAAUCCCCUUCACUUAUCUGACCCAUCCCCAUCCCCCCCUUCUGGUAACCAUCAAUUCUCUUUAGUUAAGUCUUUUUUUUUCUUCUUCGCUCAUUUGUUUAAAUUCCACAUGAGUGAGAUCAUCUGGAAUUUGUCUUUCUCUGACUUCUCACAUAGCAUUGUACUCUGUAGCUCUAGCCAUGUUGCAAAUGGCAAGAUUUCAUUAUGGCUGAAUAAUCACAUACCACAUAUUUAUCCAUUCAUCCAUCGAUGAACAGUGACACCUUACAUAUCCUGGCUAUUGUAAAUAAUGCAAUAAACAUUG